UGUAACUUCCUUACCACUUCCUGCCUUGUCAUCAGUUACUUCCCACUCAGUUCCUAUCUGUUGAAAACAGUUAAUACUUAAGAAUUCCUGACCGUGAAAGAUGCUAGAAGCAAAGUCUUUUCACUCUGCCAUGUAAUGCUGGAAUCUUCAGUAAACAACAGUGAAAUGUUAA